GAUGAACGCUGGCGGCGUGCCUAAUACAUGCCAGUCGAGCGAACAGAUGAGGAGCUUGCUCCUCUGACGUUAGCGGCGGACGGGUGAGUAACACGUGGAUAACCUACCUAUAAGACUGGGAUAACUUCGGGAAACCGGAGCUAAUACCGGAUAAUAUAUUGAACCGCAUGGUUCAAUAGUGAAAGACGGUUUUGCUGUCACUUAUAGAUGGAUCCGCGCCGCAUUAGCUAGUUGGUAAGGUAACGGCUUACCAAGGCAACGAUGCGUAGCCGACCUGAGAGGGUGAUCGGCCACACUGGAACUGAGACACGGUCCAGACUCCUACGGGAGGCAGCAGUAGGGAAUCUUCCGCAAUGGGCGAAAGCCUGACGGAGCAACGCCGUGUGAGUGAUGAAGGUCUUCGGAUCGUAAAACUCUGUUAUUAGGGAAGAACAAAUGUGUAAGUAACUAUGCACGUCUUGACGGUACCUAAUCAGAAAGCCACGGCUAACUACGUG
rnacentral:rRNA from 1 species